UCGAAAUUCGAGGUGCAGCCAUACAAAAAGAUUUUGAGCCUAAGGAGGUUUUUUGUUGACGACGUAUUAUUCUUUGAUGUAUUGGUAACCAAUGAAGAGAUUUCAGCAAUAUUUCUGAUUUUAAAUGGAAAGGAGAAUGGAAAACAAUACGAGAUAAGUUAUUUUGAAUUCGUUGGAGUUUUUUAAUAUUUUUUUGAUAAGUGCCAGAUAAAAUGCUGUUACAAUAGUCAAGCUGAGAGUUAACGAUGCCACAAGCAAUUAUGUUUGCAGCUUCUUUGGUCAGACAUGGACGAAUGUGGCGAAGUGCACGAAUGUGGUAAUUGCAGGAUUUAAUAAUAUUGUUUAUGUGGUUGUCCAUAGAGAGCUUUGAAUCUAGGAUGACUCCAAGGAUUUUUACUGAAUUUAUUGUAGUUAUUGUGGUUCCAAAAAACGCAAUAUUCAAAUCAUUUUUAUAUUUGCUAGUUUGUUUUCUAGAUCCAAAUAAGAUAGCUUCUGUUUUAUUUGGAUUAAGCAGAAGUCCAUUUUCUAGAAACCAUGUUGUAACUGCAUUAGCACACUCAGUGAUUUUGCUGAUGCUAUCUUUGCCAGGGCUGAGGAAAGUAUAAAGUUGGGUAUCAUCAGCAUAUUGAUGAUGAUUUGUACCAAAUUUAGCUAUAAUACGAUAUAUAGGUGAAACAAAAAUGGAAAAUAGAAAUGG
rnacentral:lncRNA from 1 species